rnacentral:rRNA from 1 species
CAGUUCGGAUUGUAGUCUGCAACUCGACUACAUGAAGCUGGAAUCGCUAGUAAUCGCGAAUCAGAAUGUCGCGGUGAAUACGUUCCCGGGUCUUGUACACACCGCCCGUCACACCAUGGGAGUCAGUAACGCCCGAAGUCAGUGACCCAACCAAUCAGGAGGGAGCUGCCGAAGGUGGGACCGAUAACUGGGGUGAAGUCGUAACAAGGUAUC